CACUGAUUUUUAAAGAGCCGCGGUAUUUUGACCGUGCAAAGGUAGCAUAAUCAUUAGUAUAUUAAUUGUAUACUGGAAUGAAAGGUUUGACGAGAUAAAUGCUGUCUCUAUUGUAUUGAUAUAAUUUUACUUUUUAGUUAAAAGGCUGAAAUUUUUUUUUAGGACGAUAAGACCCUAUAGAGUUUUAUUAAGAUUAUUUCAUUAAUUUGGGUUGAUUUUUAUUAGUUGAUUUUUUUAUUAAUUUUGUUGGGGUGAUGUGAAUAAUAGUUAAACUAUUCAUUUUUUGUUUUCAUUGAUUUAUGUUUUUUAUGAUCUUGUAUUAUUGAUAUUUAGAUAAAAUUACCUUAGGGAUAACAGCGCAAUUAUUUUUGAGAGUUCUUAUUUACAAAAUAGAUUGUGACCUCGAUGUUGGAUUAAGAUUACUUUUUGGGUGAAGGUGCUCAUUGGAAUUGGUCUGUUCGACCAUU
rnacentral:rRNA from 1 species